rnacentral:rRNA from 1 species
GGAUUAGAUACCCUGGUAGUCCACGCAGUAAACGAUGAAUACUAGCUGUAUGCGAUAUACUGUAUGUGGCAAAGCGAAAGCGUUAAGUAUUCCACCUGGGGAGUACGUUCGCAAGAAUGAAACUCAAAGGAAUUGACGGGGGCCCGCACAAGCGGAGGAACAUGUGGUUUAAUUCGAUGAUACGCGAGGAACCUUACCCGGGCUUGAAAUGCAGACGACCGACGAGGAAACUUGUCUUCCAGCAAUGGCGUCUGUGUAGGUGCUGCAUGGUUGUCGUCAGCUCGUGCCG